rnacentral:misc_RNA from 1 species
UCCGCGGAUAAUCGGUCUGCUGGGUUUCCCAAGUAACGAUGCCGCCUUUGACGUAGACUUUCCACGAGCAGGAGCCCGUACAAUUGACGCCGUGCGUGGAGCGAACGAGUCGUGCUGCCAGCGCUUGCGAUAGCCAUCCUCCCAUGAUCUGUCUUCGGAGGUCGUGAUGCCAUGGCCGCCGGCGAAUUCGGCUUUGGCUCGCGUAAAGAACGUAAGCCGGUCAAGAAAAUGGCUCAUCGUUUUUCUCCUUACUGAGCUGGUUGGGUGGCGG